UUUGAAUAUUUUGGGGCAUAAAACUAAAAAUCGAAGUAUUAGGUCACAUUUCAUUAGAUCUGGCGAGACUGUGAGUAGGUAUUUCAACAAAGUGUUAGAAGCUAUUUGCCACAUACGACCACGCUUUUUAAGACAAGCACGGAAUGAAGUUCCACAGGAGAUCCUUAGCAACCCUCUAUACUAUCCUUAUUUCAAGGAUUGUAUUGGUAUGAUAGAUGGUACACAUGUUGAUGCUACGCUACCUGCUAGUCUUCAACCACGAUUCCGUGGUCGAAAAGGUGUUACACAAAAUGUUUUAGCGGCUUGCACUCCAAACAAGUUAUUCACUUACGUAUUAGCUGGAUGGGAAGGUUCUGCAAAUGACUUUAGAGUCCUCCAAGAUGCAUUGUGUAGGCCACAACCUCAUGGCUUGAAAGUUUACGAUGGAAAGUAUUACUUGUGUGAUGCGG